AGAGUUUGAUCAUGGCUCAGGACGAACGCUGACGGUGUGCUUUAGGCAUGCAAGUCGAACGAGAAAGCCCUUCGGGGUUAGUAAAGUGGCGAACGGGUGAGUAACACGUGGGCAACCUGCCCCUCGCAGGGGGACAACCGGAGGAAACUCCGGCUAAUACCCUGUACGCUUGUUGGAUCGCAUGGUCCGGCAAGGAAAGGUAGCUUCGGCCAUCCGGCGAGGGAUGGGCCCGCGUUGCAUUAGCUAGUUGGUGGGGUAACGGCCUACCAAGGCGACGAUGCGUAGCUGGUCUGAGAGGAUGAUCAGCCACACUGGGACUGAGACACGGCCCAGACUCCUACGGGAGGCAGCAGCCAGGAAUCUUGGGCAAUGGGCGAAAGCCUGACCCAGCAACACCGUGUGGGUGAUGAAGGCCUUAGGGUCGUAAAGCCCUGUUGAUAGGGACGAAGGGCGAAGGGUUAAUAGCCCCUAGCUUGACGGUACCUUUCGAGGAAGCCCCGGCUAACUACGUGCCAGCAGCCGCGGUAAUACGUAGGGGGCGAGCGUUGUCCGGAAUUAUUGGGCGUAAAGAGCGUGUAGGCGGUUCGGUAAGUCUGCUGUGAAAUCCUGGGGCUCAACCCUGGGCGUGCAGCGGAUACUGCCGGGCUAGAGGGUGGUAGAGGCGAGUGGAAUUCCGAGUGUAGCGGUGAAAUGCGCAGAUAUUCGGAGGAACACCAGUAGCGAAGGCGGCUCGCUGGGCCACACCUGACGCUGAGACGCGAAAGCGUGGGGAGCGAACAGGAUUAGAUACCCUCGUAGUCC
rnacentral:rRNA from 1 species